AUGGCUUUUCAGCCGUUGGCUAAGAUAAAGUAUAGUAUCUGUUCUUCCCAGUUUAACAUCUGAUAUAUCAUCUAUCAGAAAACAAUAUUUUCUAUGUAUUUUUGGAGCAGGGUGCUGGACUAGGCCCUUGUAUCUUCCAGUUUACACAUCAGCCUAGCAUUGUUCCCCUUGGGAGUAAAUUGG